GUCGCUGUAGCUCAGUGGAUAGAGCGACCGCCUCCUAAGCGGUAGGCCGGAGGUUCGAAUCCUCUCAGCGACGCCA
rnacentral:tRNA from 1 species